rnacentral:tRNA from 1 species
GGAAUUGUAGCUCAGCGGUAGAGCGCUUGCCUCAUACAUGAGAGGCACCGGGUUCGAUUCCCAGCACCA